rnacentral:rRNA from 1 species
UCUGGUUGAUCCUGCCAGAGGUCACUGCUAUCGGGGUUCGAUUAAGCCAUGCGAGUCGAGAGGGUUCGGCCCUCGGCGUACUGCUCAGUAACACGUGGAUAACCUGCCCUAGGGAAGGGGAUAACCCCGGGAAACUGGGGAUAAUACCCUAUAGAUUACAGAUGCUGGAAUGCCCUGUAAUCCAAAGUUCCGACGCCCUAGGAUGGAUCUGCGGCCGAUUAGGUUGUUGUUGGGGUAAUGGCCCAACAAGCCCGUAAUCGGUACGGGUUGUGGGAGCAAGAGCCCGGAGUUGGAUUCUGAGACACGAAUCCAGGCCCUACGGGGCGCAGCAGGCGCGAAAACUUUACAAUGCGGGCAACCGUGAUAAGGGAACCUCGAGUGCCUGUAAAUGCAGGCUGUUCAGGUGCCUAAAACACACCUGAAGAAAGGGCCGGGCAAGACCGGUGCCAGCCGCCGCGGUAAUACCGGCGGCUCGAGUGGUGGCCGCUUUUAUUGGGCUUAAAGCGUUCGUAGCUGGGUUGUUAAGUCUCUUGGGAAAUCUGGCGGCUUAACCGUCAGGCGUCUAAGGGAUACUGGCAAUCUUGGAACCGGGAGAGGUGAGGGGUACUUCGGGGGUAGGAGUGAAAUCCUGUAAUCCUCGAGGGACCACCUGUGGCGAAGGCGCCUCACCAGAACGGCUUCGACAGUGAGGGACGAAAGCUGGGGGAGCAAACCGGAUUAGAUACCCGGGUAGUCCCAGCCGUAAACUAUGCGCGUUAGGUGUAUCGGUGACCACGAGUUACCGAGGUGCCGAAGGGAAACCGUGAAACGUGCCGCCUGGGAAGUACGGUCGCAAGGCUGAAACUUAAAGGAAUUGGCGGGGGAGCACCACAACAGGUGGAGCCUGCGGUUUAAUUGGACUCAACGCCGGGAAGCUCACCGGAUAAGACAGCAGAAUGAUUGCCGGGCUGAAGACUCUGCAUGACUAGCUGAGAGGAGGUGCAUGGCCGUCGCCAGUUCGUACUGUGAAGCAUCCUGUUAAGUCAGGCAACGAGCGAGACCC